rnacentral:rRNA from 1 species
UACGGAGGGGGCGAGCGUUAUUCGGAAUUAUUGGGCGUAAAGGGCGCGUAGGCGGCCCGGUAAGUCAAAGGUGAAAUCCCUCGGCUCAACUGAGGAACUGCCUUUGAAACUGUCGGGCUUGAGGCCGGGAGGGGGUAGCGGAAUUCCUGGUGUAGCGGUGAAAUGCGCAGAUAAUCAGGAGGAACACCGGUGGCGAAGGCGGUUCUCUGGGCAGUUACCUGACGCUGAGGAGCGAAAGUGUGGGGAGCGAACAGG